GGAAUAUUGGUCAAUGGAGGCAACUCUGAACCAGCCAUGCCGCGUGCAGGAAGACAGCCCUCUGGGUCGUAAACUGCUUUUAUUCGGGAAUAAACCUACUUACGUGUAAGUAGCUGAAUGUACCGAAGGAAUAAGGAUCGGCUAACUCCGUGCCAGCAGCCGCGGUAAUACGGAGGAUCCAAGCGUUAUCCGGAUUUAUUGGGUUUAAAGGGUGCGUAGGCGGCUUUUUAAGUCAGGGGUGAAAGACGGUGGCUCAACCAUCGCAGUGCCCUUGAUACUGAAGAGCUUGAAUGAAUUAGAGGUAGGCGGAAUGUGACAAGUAGCGGUGAAAUGCAUAGAUAUGUCACAGAACACCGAUUGCGAAGGCAGCUUACUAUGAUUUUAUUGACGCUGAGGCACGAAAGCGUGGGGAUCAAACAGGAUUAGAUACCCCGG
rnacentral:rRNA from 1 species